rnacentral:siRNA from 1 species
UCAACUCUUCAGGAACCAUCUUA